GGCAGAAGCAGGAUCAAUGGGGGAGCCGCAGCCGUCGAUCCCGCGCCAUGAGGAUAGGAGGCUCACGGGUGCUCGGCUGCCAAGACUGACUGAACUGCAGUGGAAUCUCCAACAGGUCCAGGUUCACGGCAUAGUGUGAACCCCCAGUUACAUGACCCCCAUCCUCCUCCUCUUCUUUGCUGUUCACACCAGGAGUCUGUGACUUACAGGCUCCUCCAAGGUAUCCAAAGUGGCGUACAGGGCAGUGGUGGAAGUCUCCGUCAAGGCAUGCAGCUCUCCAUAAAAGCAGCGGGCAUGCAGCUCAGCACCAGACUGACUGUUGGCCUCCAGGGCAGUAUGUCUGCUGCAGUUACUUCACUUUCACAGGGAACUGCUGCUGGUCCCUGUCAUACCCCUUCUCCUGCAUCCCCAUGAAACCUGUUCAUAGAUGUCCACAUUUCUACAGCUGGUCUGUGGCUGUGCCUACACAGCCUCUUCUCCCUACAGGCUCAGGAGAUCCUGCCUCACACAAGGAGAAGACUAUUACAAAUAGAAGUUUAACACCAAGGGCAAUAUAGUGCCCCCCAAAGUCUCUUUCAUAUCUGCAAGAUCUUGGGAUGCCGACCAGGUUAACACAUCUGAGAAUGGAUUUGUAAGUCUCACCUUACUUCAG